UGUCCAGGGAUGGGAAUCGAACCCACAGUGUUCCGCUUACCGGGCAGAUGCCAUGUCCACUAGGCUACCCGGGG
rnacentral:tRNA from 1 species